UACGGGGGGGGGCAAGCGUUGUUCGGAAUUACUGGGCGUAAAGGGCUCGUAGGUGGCCAACUAAGUCAGACGUGAAAUCCCUCGGCUUAACCGGGGAACUGCGUCUGAUACUGGAUGGCUUGAGAUUGGGAGAGGGAUGCGGAAUUCCAGGUGUAGCGGUGAAAUGCGUAGAUAUCUGGAGGAACACCGGUGGCGAAGGCGGCAUCCUGGACCGACAUUGACGCUGAACGGCGAAAGCUAGGGGAGCAAACGGG
rnacentral:rRNA from 1 species